UACAAAAUAUAACAGUUAACCGAUUGACAAAUGGCAUAGCCAUAUUUAAUUCAAAAGACCCCCCACUUAAUACAAAUUGUACAGAAUAUGAGCCUCUAUUCGCUACCGUUGAAAUAUGUGAAGUAAGAAUCAUAGGUUGCAGAGCUGGAGCUUACGGGGAAGGUUGCAAACCUUGUCCAUCAAUAUGUCCUAACGAAAGCUGUGAUGCAUUCAAUGGAUCAUGCAGAUAUCAAAAACCAGACAAUGGUUGUUCACAGACACCAAAGACUUUCAUAGUGAUCCUUCUCGCCGUUUCAGCAUUUCUUAUUGUCAUUACAACAACCAUUUUGACUUUUAGAGUACGUCGAAAAAGAAACCAAAAGCACAAAGAGAGAAAUCAGAAAGAUACCAAGACAGCUGUAAACUUACAUUUCUACGACAAAAUUAAAAAGACACAAGGGGAAAAUGUGUAUAGUAAAAUUAACUUUGCAGUGAAUGUGUCUCUUUAUGAAGAAAUUCACAUAUAAAAAUAAAUGUUCCAAGAUUUUUUUUUUUUACAAUUUGUUUUAAUGUCAUGAGAAUGUAAUUCUCGUUUAAUU